GGCUCAUUAAAUCAGUUAUCGUUUAUUUGAUAGUACCUUACUACAUGGAUAACCGUGGUAAUUCUAGAGCUAAUACAUGCUAAAAACCUCGACUUCGGAAGGGGUGUAUUUAUUAGAUAAAAAACCAAUGCCCUUCGGGGCUCCUUGGUGAAUCAUAAUAACUUAACGAAUCGCAUGGCCUUGCGCCGGCGAUGGUUCAUUCAAAUUUCUGCCCUAUCAACUUUCGAUGGUAGGAUAGUGGCCUACCAUGGUAUCAACGGGUAACGGGGAAUUAGGGUUCGACUCCGGAGAGGGAGCCUGAGAAACGGCUACCACAUCCAAGGAAGGCAGCAGGCGCGCAAAUUACCCAAUCCCGACACGGGGAGGUAG
rnacentral:rRNA from 1 species